UCCUUAAUAGAAUCCAGUACUUUAUAAAAAAAGAACACUACAUUUACUAUCUAAUUUCUCCUGCUGCUUGCAGGGUGGAAGCUGUAGGGAUCUAACAGCAAAGUGGGCAGUGCUGGGUGGUUUGGGGAUGCAGGUGAGGACAGAAAGCUGCACUUCUAGUCGGUGACGAGGAAAGAAGGCUCUGAAGCAGCAGACUUGCAGGCAGCAGGUCACGCUUUCCGGAGGAAGAAGAGUUGCUGCCUAAGAGGAAACUACAGCAGGCAGGCCAAAAUGAAAUACAAACAAAAGCUGGGGAAGGCAAAAGCCAUGUGUUGUCUUUCCUUCCCUCCGACCUGCAGCAGAGAUGCUCAGGAGCCUGGCACGUGGCUGUGCCACUCCGGGACUUGGCAAGCUCCAGCCCAAACUGAUUUCCACGCGAUUUGAGGCUUUCUUUGGAACUGCAGCAGCAUUGCUGAAGGCUGCUUCGCUCCGUGCUCCAGCCUUAUUAGAAAAGCCGUGUCCCAGCGGAUGCCAUUUUGGCACCUAUUAAACCUCCCCAAGGAACGUUUGUGGGCUAUUGCCUGUCUCGGAGCUGCCUUGCUGCCACUUCACUGUGGGCUGACGAAGGAGAAGACGAGGAACCCGCCAGGCGCUUCCCUCUGGGGCUUGUU